rnacentral:rRNA from 1 species
AGUGAACGCUGGCGGUAGGCCUAGCACAUGCAAGUCGAACGGCAGCACAGUAAGAGCUUGCUCUUACGGGUGGCGAGUGGCGGACGGGUGAGGAAUACAUCGGAAUCUACUUUUUCGUGGGGGAUAACGUAGGGAAACUUACGCUAAUACCGCAUACGACCUACGGGUGAAAGCAGGGGAUCUUCGGACCUUGCGCGAUUGAAUGAGCCGAUGUCGGAUUAGCUAGUUGGCGGGGUAAAGGCCCACCAAGGCGACGAUCCGUAGCUGGUCUGAGAGGAUGAUCAGCCACACUGGAACUGAGACACGGUCCAGACUCCUACGGGAGGCAGCAGUGGGGAAUAUUGGACAAUGGGCGCAGGCCUGAUCCAGCCAUACCGCGUGGGUGAAGAAGGCCUUCGGGUUGUAAAGCCCUUUUGUUGGGAAAGAAAAGCAGCAGGUUAAUACCCCGCUGUUCUGACGGUACCCAAAGAAUAAGCACCGGCUAACUUCGUG